UUGAAAGGGAAACGAUUGAAGUCAGUCGUACCUGCGGAUAAUCAACCUUUAGAUGCGAUUUUGUGGAGUGUGAGGAGCUAAUCGCCUUCAUGCCUGUAUAUUCGUGUACUUGGGGUGUACUUAUUCGUGAGGUAAGUUAACAUCAAUUUUGGUGGUCAUAAAAUGACUGGAGGAAUGUAGCUUCGAUCUCGUAUUGAAGUGUUAUAGCCUUCGGUAGAUGUGAUGAUCGAGAUUGAGGAUUGCAACGGAUACCCUUCGGGGCUACCUGUCUGGUCUCUGAUCGUUGCUCUGGUGCCGAAAGUUUGCUUACGGUUAUCAAAGUCGAUGGUCAAUAGGUUAGAACGGGUUAAAUUCGUUAAGGAUGUUGACGUA
rnacentral:rRNA from 1 species